UACGUAGGGGCAAGCGUUGUCCGGAAUCAUUGGGCGUAAAGAGCGCGUAGGCGGCCAGAUAAGUCCGGUGUGAAAGUCACAGGCUCAACCUGUGAAUGCCGCUGGAAACUGUAUGGCUAGAGUCCGGAAGAGGCGAGUGGAAUUCCUGGUGUAGCGGUGAAAUGCGCAGAUAUCAGGAGGAACACCGAUGGCGAAGGCAGCUUGCUGGGACGGUACUGACGCUGAGACGCGAAAGCGUGGGGAGCAAACAGG
rnacentral:rRNA from 1 species